AGCGAACGUUAGCGGCGGGCUUAACACAUGCAAGUCGAGCGAGAAAGGGGCUUCGGCCCUGAGUAAAGCGGCGGACGGGUGAGUAACACGUAGGUAAUCUUCCCUUGAGCGGGGGACAACGAUUCGAAAGGAUCGCUAAUACCGCAUAAGUUUCCAGAGACUCUGGUCUUUGGAAGGAAAGCUAGGCAGCAAUGUCCGGCACUCGAGGAGGAGCCUGCGUCGCAUCAGCUAGUUGGUGGGGUAACGGCCUACCAAGGCGAAGACGCGUAGCUGGUCUGAGAGGAUGAUCAGCCACACUGGGACUGAGACACGGCCCAGACUCCUACGGGAGGCAGCAGUGGGGAAUUUUGCGCAAUGGGGAAACCCUGACGCAGCAACGCCGCGUGGAGGAUGAAGUCCCGUUGGGACGUAAACUCCUUUCGACCGGGAAGAUUAUGACGGUACCGGUGGAAGAAGCCCCGGCUAACUUCGUGCCAGCAGCCGCAGUAAG
rnacentral:rRNA from 1 species